AGGACGAACGCUGGCGGCGUGCUUAACACAUGCAAGUCGAGCGGUAAGGCCCUUUCGGGGGUACACGAGCGGCGAACGGGUGAGUAACACGUGGGUGACCUGCCCUUAGCUCUGGGAUAAGCCUGGGAAACUGGGUCUAAUACCGGAUAUGACCUCGCGAUGCAUGUCGUGGGGUGGAAAGCCUUGUGCGGCUAGGGAUGGGCCCGCGGCCUAUCAGCUUGUUGGUGGGGUGAUGGCCUACCAAGGCGACGACGGGUAGCCGGCCUGAGAGGGCGACCGGCCACACUGGGACUGAGACACGGCCCAGACUCCUACGGGAGGCAGCAGUGGGGAAUCUUGCGCAAUGGGCGAAAGCCUGACGCAGCGACGCCGCGUGAGGGAUGACGGCCUUCGGGUUGUAAACCUCUUUCAGCCCUGACGAAGCGAAGUGACGGUAGGGCAGAGAGCACGGCCACUACGUGCCAGCAGCCGCGGUAA
rnacentral:rRNA from 1 species